rnacentral:lncRNA from 10 species
AGAUCGCUGAAGAUUGCCCUUGAGAGCAAAUUCCUCAGGCAGCUGUGGAGCUGAGCCCUGAGGACUCAGUGAGCCAGGGCUGGGCCCUCACCCUCACACUAUUCCUCAUAAACAGUUCAGUUUAAGUUCUCAGGAAUGCAUAGUCCUGCAAAGACUGUGGCGCUGGGUCUCAAAUACGAAUUCAAACUAAAAACAAAACCCUCUGCCAAUCAAAAGAGGAAAGAAGCCAAACAGAACUCUCACUUCUUCCCCCUCUGAGGACCACUUUAAAGUUUUUUUUUUUUUGAAAUAACAAAUAUUAAAUUCUUUAAAAAGCAAUCAAUCCCUUUUCCUGUUCCCCUUUUCUGGGGGGCUCCGCUUGGCUGAGCUGCUCUAAAUACAGUAGGUAGUCUUGUACAUUACUCUGCCAGCUUUAUUGUUACCUGGACAUUUUUAGGUUUCAGCUUUAUCUUUUUAGUUUUUUUUUUUUUUUUAAAGAAAACUGUGGUAAUAUAGAGAAACACAAAAUUUACUACUUUACCCAACUUGAACUGCACAGAUCAGUGGCAUUCAAUACAUUCAUAUUGUUGUGCCAUCAUCACCAUGCCCUCCAGAAACUUUCUUCAUCUUGCAAAACUGAAAUCAUCUUUUAAUUCAUUCAUUCGUUUAUUUUGAGAUGGAGUCUCGCUCAGUCGCCCAGGCUGGAGUGCAAUGGAGCAAUCUCAUUUCACUGCAACCUCUGCCUCCCGGGUUCAAGCAAUUCUCCUGCCUCAGUCUCCUGAGUAGCUGGGAUUACAGGCGCCCCCUCACCACGCCCAGCUAAUUUUUUUGUAUUUUUAGUAGAGACAAGGUUUCACC